rnacentral:misc_RNA from 1 species
UUUCCGUAGGUGAACCUGCGGAAGGACCAUUAAAGUUAUAGUCCCCCGGCCCCUCCGGGCUGGGGUCUUCUAUACCACCCUUUGUUUAUUACACCUUUGUUGCUUUGGCAGGCCUGCCCUCGGGCUGCUGGCUCCGGCCGGCUCGUGCCUGCCAGAGGACCUAAACUCUGUUUGUAUAUGAAGUCUGAGUACUAUAUAAUAGUUAAAACUUUCAACAACGGAUCUCUUGGUUCUG